rnacentral:rRNA from 1 species
GUAGGUGGCAAGCGUUGCCCGGAAUUAUUGGGCGUAAAGCGCGCGCAGGCGGUUCUUUAAGUCUGAUGUGAAAGCCCACGGGCUCAACCGUGGAGGGUCAUUGGAAACUGGAGAACUUGAGUACAGAAGAGGAAAGCGGAAUUCCACGUGUAGCGGUGAAAUGCGUAGAGAUGUGGAGGAACACCAGUGGCGAAGGCGGCUUUCUGGUCUGUAACUGACGCUGAGGCGCGAAAGCGUGGGGAGCAAACAGGAUUAGAUACCCUGGUAGUCCACGCCGUAAACGAUGAGUGCUAAGUGUUAGGGGGUUUCCGCCCCUUAGUGCUGCAGCUAACGCAUUAAGCACUCCGCCUGGGGAGUACGGCCGCAAGGCUG